GGUGACAUGGCCGAAUAUGGUAAGGUGAGGGACGACAAAUCCUUUAUCUUCAAUUUAAAUAUAGCUGUCACCU
rnacentral:tRNA from 1 species